rnacentral:tRNA from 1 species
GGUUUGGAUGCCCUCGGAGGUGCCCUGCCGUUCGCUGAUAAAUGGCGGCCUUUCGAGCCGAGGACAGGGGUUCAAAUCCCCUACCGAGCA